AUUGAACGCUGGCGGCAUGCUUUACACAUGCAAGUCGAACGGUAACAGGCCGCAAGGUGCUGACGAGUGGCGAACGGGUGAGUAAUGCAUCGGAACGUGCCCAGUCGUGGGGGAUAACUAUCCGAAAGGAUAGCUAAUACCGCAUACGAUCUGCGGAUGAAAACGGGGGACCUUCGGGCCUCGUGCGAUUGGAGCGGCCGAUGUCAGAUUAGGUAGUUGGUGGGGUAAAGGCUCACCAAGCCAACGAUCUGUAGCUGGUCUGAGAGGACGACCAGCCACACUGGGACUGAGACACGGCCCAGACUCCUACGGGAGGCAGCAGUGGGGAAUUUAGGACAAUGGGCGCAAGCCUGAUCCAGCAAUGCCGCGUGCAGGAAGAAGGCCUUCGGGUUGUAAACUGCUUUUGUACGGAACGAAACGGCUCUGGUUAAUACCUGGGGCUAAUGACGGUACCGUAAGAAUAAGCACCGGCUAACUACGUGCCAGCCGCCGCAGUAA
rnacentral:rRNA from 1 species